rnacentral:rRNA from 1 species
CCUACGGGAGGCAGCAGUAGGGAAUCUUUCACAAUGGGCGAAAGCCUGAUGGAGCAACGCCGCGUGCAGGAUGAAGGCCUUCUGGUUGUAAACUGCUUUUAUAAGCGAGAAAUAUGAUGGUAACUUAUGAAUAAGGAUCGGCUAACUACGUGCCAGCAGCCGCGGUCAUACGUAGGAUCCGAGCAUUAUCCGGAGUUACUGGGUGUAAAGAGGUGCGUAGGUGGCAUAAUAAGUAGCUAGUGAAAUCUGGUGGCUCAAACAUUCAGACUAUUAGCUAAACUGUUAAGCUCGAGACCGUUAGGGGGAACUGGAAUUUGUAGUGUAGGAGUGAAAUCCGUAGAUAUUAGAAGGAACACCAAUAGCGUAGGCAGGUUACUGGGACGGUUCUGACACUAAGGCACGAAAGCGUAGGGAGCAAACGGGAUUAGAUACCCCGGUAGUC